UCGGCUGAUUGAGUAUGUUUCGCGCUUGAGGGUUGGUCUGAUGGUGUCGAAAUCGGGGUGAAUGCGUUCCGCGAGUUUUGCUCCCUGUACAGGUCUGGCCGCGGCGUUUUUUAGGUGAGAAAAGAAGGUUGCCCUUAGUGCCUGGUCCAAUAAGCCGCAGAUUGGCGUAGUCCUACCUGUUCGGCCGGUAUUUGCGUGGCGAUAAGGUGUUGCAUUCGAGCGGGUGUUCGUUGUCCUGACCCCAGGAAGACAGGCAGCCGAUUAACAGGGCGGCUUACGUGUCGUUGUUGUUCCUGGAGGCUCAGAUCCCUACUAUCUAUUUUCGCUGUAAGUGUUCCCGGGGUUCACUAAAAAUCUCGUUUUAGGUUCUCAACCGGUGGCUAGGCUGAACGACUUGUGGUUUAUCACCAGCCGUAGUUCGUAAGAAAUCCGAAAAGUUGCAAAUCAAGUUCUGUGUUCGCCUAAAUUUUUGUUCGUCGUGCUUUCGCCGCCAGCUUGCUUUCCGGUUUGCCAAGUUGCGGAGGCUCCCCGGUGCAUGGCCCCAAACUGAUAUAAGUUUCGCUGUCGGCUAGCAGUGGAUUUCGCGCGCGUUUGUAUCGCUCCAGACAAGCCCAAGGAGUAUGAAGCGUAUUGCAAAGUGUACCUUACCCUGCCUGCGUUGAAAGGAGGGCGGCUGCUUCCACCCUCCUUGUGCCCGUUAAAGUGCAGUUAACCCUGUCCCUGGAGGAUUCAGGAGUCUAGGCCAGCUGCAAAAGGCGGACUACCGUACAGUCUUCGUCGCGUAUAUACAACAAAUUAUACAGGAUCAAUGCCUGUAAUUCUCUCCCUUUUAUGUUGGAUUUAAUACCGAGUUUUUGUUUUGCUGCUGUGCAAAUGCCGGGUCCAUACAUCUGACGGUGUUUCUGGUCCAUAUUUACAGCUUCCCGUGGCGACCGCUUCAUUGCAAGCAAAUUUUGUUUUGCUUCCUUUUUUUGCUCCGUUCCUUUGAUAUCAGAAACCAUUGCAGUGUUGAGUGUGGAAAAGUGUUGUGAAGUGGCAUUUUGCAAGGUUUUUCGUUUGAGCAUUUUCCAUUUCGGUAUUUCAGUUGAAUCCGUGAUCUGGUUCAGAGUGUGUCUGAUAUUUAAAAAACGGGAAACAACUCGUCAACCACGGAGGGAUAUUGUCAGGCGAAUAGUUUGGAGCAAUUAAGUCAACAGAGAGGAUAACAUUUUAAGGAUCGGAACAGGUUUUCUUGAGGAUCCUCAUCAUUAACUGCUAUCUCAUGGACCACGGCAGCUGUCGGAUUAUGGUAGUUUCAGAUGUUGGCCGAUUACGCUAACACUUCGUAGCAGAUAGACAAGCCUUUUUCAAGUUCGAAGCUGUUGAAAUGCCUAUUGCAAUGGAUUAGGCGAGUUCUAAGGACGAAUGGUAUCCGGGAGAUAGGCGGGUGUAACAAGAUGAAAUGAAAAGCACUCAACGUGAUACGAAAAAUGGUGGGAAGUGUGUAACGCCAGAUGAUAUUGCAAAUGGGCGGAUAAGAUGUAAUGUAGAUAUCUAUUCCUCAAUAGGAUGUUUGAAUCUUUUGGAAAUGGGCGAAAAUAAGUUUUCUUGUUUAUGAGGCG